rnacentral:lncRNA from 1 species
AUGCAAAAAAGCAAAAUGGCUGUCUGGGGAGGCCUUACAAAUAGCUGUGAAAAGAAGAGAGGCAAAAAGCAAAGGAGAAAAGAAAGAUAUAAGAAUCUGAAUGCAGAGUUCCAGAGAAUAGCAAGAAGAGAUAAAGCCUUCCUCAGCGAUCAAUGCAAAGAAAUAGAGAAAAAGAACAGAAUGAGAAAGACUAGAGAUCUCUUCAAGAAAAUUAGAGAUACCAAGGGAACAUUUCAUGCAAAGAUGGGCUCAAUAAAGGACAGAAAUGGCAUGGACCUAACAGAAGCAGCAGAUAUUAAGAAGAGGUGGCAAGAAUACACAGAAGAACUGCACAAAAAAGAUCUUCACGACCCGGAUAAUCACGACGGUGUGAUCACUCAUCUAGAGCCAGACAUCUUGGAAUGUGAAGUCAAGUGGGCCUUAGAAAGCUUCACUACGAACAAAGCUAGUGGAGGUGAUGGAAUUCCAAUUGAGCUGUUUCAAAUCCUGAAAGAUGAUGCUGUGAAAGUGCUGCACUCCAGAUGCCAGCAAGUUUGGAAAACUCAGCAGUGGCCACAGGACUGGAAAAGGUCAGUUUUCAUUCCAAUUCCAAAGAAAGGCAAUGACAAAGAAUGCUCAAACUACCGCACAAUUGCACUCAUCUCACAUGCUAGUAAAGUAAUGCUCAAAAUUCUCCAAGCCAGGCUUCAGCAAUACGUGAACUGUGAACUUCCUAAUGUUCAAGCUGGUUUUAGAAAAGGCAGAGGAACCAGAGAUCAAAUUGCCAACAUCUGCUGGAUCAUCGAAAAAGCAAGAGAGUUCCAGAAAAACAUCUAUUUCUGCUUUAUUGACUCUGCCAAAGCCUUUGACUGUGUGGAUCACAAUAAACUGUGGGAAAUUCUGAAAGAGAUGGGAAUACCAGACUACCUGACCUGCCUCUUGAGAAAUCUGUAUGCAGGUCAGGAAGCAACAGUUAGAACUGGACAUGGAACAACAGACUGGUUCCAAAUAGGAAAAGGAGUACAUCAAGGCUGUAUAUUGUCACCCUGCUUAUUUAACUUCUAUGCAGAGUACAUCAUGAGAAACGCUGGGCUGGAAGAAACACAAGGUGGAAUCAAGAUCGCCGGGAGAAAUAUCAAUAACCUCAGAUAUGCAGAUGACACCACCCUUAUGGCAGAAAGUGAAGAGGAGCUAAAAAGCCUCUUGAUGAAAGUGAAAGAGGAGAGUGAAAAAGCUGGCUUAAAGCUCAACAUUCAGAAAAUGAAGAUCACGGUAUCCGGUCCCAUCACUUCAUGGGAAAUAGAUGGGGAAACAGUGGAAACAGUGUCAGACUUUAUUUUGGGGGGCUCCAAAAUCACUGCAGAUGGUGACUGCAGCCAUGAAAUUAAAAGACUCCUUGGAAGGAAAGUUAUGACCAACCUAGACAGCAUAUUCAAAAGCAGAGACAUUACUUUGCCAACUAAGGUCUGUCUAGUCAAGGCUAUGGUUUUUCCAGCGGUCAUGUAUGGAUGUGAAAGUUGGACUGUGAAGAAGGCUGAGCGCCGAAGAAUUGAUGCUUUUGAACUGUGGUGUUGGAGAAGACUCUUGAGAGUCCCUUGGACUGCAAGGAGAUCAGCCCUGGGAUUUCUUUGGAAGAAAUGA